CUGCAGCGAGACUCCGAAGAGAGAUUCCGGCUUCGCGGGGCGGCGCGGAGCCCGGAGCUGCCCACCUCCGCCGCCUUGGGAAGGCGGCUGGGAUUAGAAGGACAUCGAUUUUACCGUCUCCCCCAUCGGAGUCCCGGAGGCUGCGCUGCGGUGUGGCAAGUUCAUGGAGGAGCAGGUGCUUCAGUCGCAGGGGAUGACACACUUCCAUGGCCCCCCAUGCCAGAAGAGUUUGUAGUCUCCUCUCAUCACCUUGAAGAGUACUGGUCAAUUAUUUUGUAGAAUGUCCUUCAAAUUGGGUUUGUCUGCUGUUUUCUCCUGAUUCAGCUUAGGGAAAACCACCACAGAUGAUGUGCCACUCACACAGCACCACAUCACAGGUACCUGCUGCCAAUAUGAUGCCACCUUUGAGUUCUUGGUUGGGGCUGUGUCUGCCAGGUUUCUCCACUGUAAAGUAUUGUUCCCUUUGUAAUGAAUAGCUAUUUGGGGGGAGACUUGGCAGAUAUUCUAUUUCUCCUAAUUCUUUCACCUGUUAGAUUUCACCUUGCUGCAUCUGUCAAGGGACUGUGCUUAUAACAAUUAUCAUGGUGAUUUUCUAUUUCCCUUAUUCCUUCUACAUUUAUUAACUGGAAUUUUACAAGGAAGAACUGUUCCUUAUCCCUCACUUAUGCAUUCAUUUAUGUAUUGAUAUCAGCCUAAAUGGAUGGCUAUUUCUUUUCUUUUUUAGGUUGUAAUCCAUUACUGCUGUUGUCUAUCCUGUGGCUCGAACUGCUCCAGCUUUGGCCAAUGCAGCACUUUUUGACGGACAUCUACCCUUCUGAUAUCUGACAGGCUGCCAUCACUCACCUUUCGUUUGCCCUACCCCAACCCUGGAACCAACCCCUUCCCUGAGGAGCCCUUAGGAUCCACCAUCUCAGGCUGGCUCUGGUCACUGAUGCAGGUGUCACUGCUCUAAGGCCCUCUGUCGACAGACUUAGAAAACAGAUGUGUUACACUAACUCACACAUGCAUAGACCCACAUUUCUCUCUCUCUGAAAAAACCAACAGCCCUAGUUCAUGCUGACACCUCCAACCCUGAUCCAGAACCACAGGAUAACUCUAGCACCAUCCUUCCUUAUUUGUAACUUCUUCCUAGAAUACGUACAGUUUUGAGAUUGCUAACCCAUGCCCCUAUGAGAAACAAGUGCACUAACCAGAGGUUUUAUCUUUAGCCUUACAGCAUCCUGUCAAAACACUGUUUUCCAAAGUUACUGAUAGGUCAGCUAAUUCUACAUCCAUUUCACUAUGGUUAUGGCAGCAUUCCCUAACCGUUUUGGCACCAAGGACCAAUUUCUUAGAAGACAGUUUUUCCACAGACUGGGGCGAGGAGGGGGGAUGGUUUCAGGAUGAAACUGUGCCACCUCAGAUCAUCACUCUAACAUCAUAGUUAGAGUCUCAAAAGGAGUGAGUGAGCAACCUAGAUCAUUCACAUGCACAGUUCACAACAGGGUUCAUGCUCCUAUGAGAAUCUAAUGCUGCUGCUGACCUGACAGGAGGCAGAGCUCAGGCAGUAAUGCUUGCCUGCCCUCUGCUCACCUCCUGCUCUGUGGCCCAGGUCCUAACAGGCUACGGACAGGUACCGAUCCGUGGCCUAGGGGUUGGGGACCCCGGAUUAUGGGAUAAGUUUGUAAUACCAUUUGAUUCAUCUGUCACAGUUUGUAUCACUUGGGCACUCCCCCCAGUAACACACACACAAACAUCUUUGUUGAUUUUAGUGAAAUUUUGUGGUGCACAGUUCCAUGGGUUUUGACAGGUGCACAGUCAAAUCUAACACAGUCCCAUCACUCCCCAAACUGCCUCUCACUCUCUUUGUAAUCAACUCCUUUUCCCCAACUCUUAACCCCUGGCAACCACUGAUUUGUUCUUCUUCCUUAUGGUUGUGCUUUUUCUAGAGCAUCCUUUAAAUAGAAUCAUACAAUAUGGAGGCCUUUUAGGUUUGGUUUCUUUCACUAAACAAAAUGAAUUUAAGAUUCAUCCAUGUUGUGGGAAUUAAUAGUUUGUUCCUUUUGACUUUUGAGUGGUAUUCUGCUGUAGAGAUGUUACCACAAUUUGUUUAUUCAUUCACCAGUUGAAGGAUAUCUGAUUUUGAGUGUUGGCAAUUACUGAAUAAAACUCUAUUAACAGUCACAUGCAGGUUUUGUGUGAGCAUGAAUUUUCACUUACCUUGGGUAAGCACCUAGGAGUGAGACUGCCAGGUCCUAAGGCAGUGUAACACAGUAAGAAGCUGCCACACUGUUUUCCAGAGUGGCUGUGCCAUUCUGCAUUCCCAGUAGCAGGGUUGGAGAGCAUAUUCCUGCCAGCACUUGGCACUGUCCUUGCCAGCACUGGGAUGCUUCGUGAUUGUUCUUUCAUCUUAGCUACUGAUGUAGGCCUGUGCUGGUACCUUAUGAAGAAGGUGCACAGCCUUCCAAAUCACCUAGGCCCACUGUGGCAGUCUCAUUCCCCAGAACAUACUGUUAUAUCUCUAGCUGGUCAGCUGCUUGCCCCAAAUGGUACUGUGGCCUUAGGCUAGGUGCAGUGUUUACCUUCCGGAUUGCUUGCAUUUGUUUCCCUAACAAUAAAUUAUGUUGGGCAUCACAGGCUUAUUUUUCUCUGCUUAUUUGCAUGGGCUUCUCUGCAAUCCAUGCAAGUUGUUUGGUGAAGUACAGGUUCACCAAAACUAUUCCCCAAUUUUUUACUGGGUUGUUUUCUUAUUGUUGAGUUUUAAGUGUUCUUUAUUAUUCUGGAUACUAACCCUUUGUCAGAUAUGUGACUUACAAAUGUGUUCUCUGAGAGUAGAAUUUUAAAAUUUUGAUAAAAUGCAAAUUAUAGAUUUUUUUCUUUUAUGGAUUGUGCUUUUGGUAUCAUAUCUAAAAACUCUGCCCAAGAUCAUGCAGACUUUCCUUUGGGUUUCUUCCAUAAGUUCUACAGUUUUACAUUCUACAUUUAGGUAUAUGAUCCAUUUUGAGUUCAUUUUUGUAUAAAAUGUGAGCUGUACAGGUUAUUUAUUUAUUUAUUUUUGCAUAUACACUCUAGUUUUCUAGUCCAUUUGUUGACAAGAUUACACUUUCUCCAUGGAAUAUAUUAAGAGGUGCCUUUACACCAGUCAAAAAUAAACCAACCAUAUCUGUAUGGACUUAUCUGGGGUCCUCUGUUCUGUUCCACUGACCUGUGUAUCUAUCUUUUCACCAAUACCACAUACCACUUUUUUGAUUGUGGUGAUUUUACAUUUUAUAGUAAAUCUUGUUCUUUUUUCUUUUUCAGAUGGAGUUUUGCUCUUGUUGCCCAGGCUAGAGUGCAAUGACAGGAUUUUUGCUCACCGCAACCUCCACCUCCCAGGUUCAAGUGAUUUUCCUGACUCAGCUUCCUGAGUAGCUGGGAUUACAGGCACCUGUCACCAUGCCCGGCUAAUUUUUUUUUUUUUUUUUUUUUUUUUUUUUUUUUUUUUUUUUUUUGUAUUUUUAGUAGAGACAGGUUUUCACCAUGUUGGCCGGGCUGGUCUUGAACUCCUGACCUCAGGUGAUCUGCCCGCCUUGGCCUCCCAAAGUGUUGGGAUUACAGGCCUGAGCCACCACGCCCAGCCGUUGCUCUGCCUUUCUAAUGAUGACUUUAGGUAUCAGUUUUUAAUAUAAAGUUUAUCUUUUUUUUCUUUCACAGCUUGUGGUUUUUGUGUGGUAAGCAAUCUGCCUACUUUACAUUGUGAAAAUAUUGUUUUCUUCUUAAAACUUUACAGUUUUAGCCUUUUACAGUUCAUUCUACAAUCCAUCUAAAAUUAAUGCUAUGUCCACAGUAAGAGUGAGUAGUAGAGUUUCAUUUUUCCUUGCAUGUUUAUCCAGUUGAAAAAAUCUUUCCCUUCCCAAUUGAACUAUGUUGGUUGAAAAAACUUUGAUUUCUCCUGUUGUUGCACUGUGCAUCCUAGUGUUUUGUAAAUUAACUAUUCUUAUCUUCUUAGUUUUUUAUAAGUGUAAACAGGGGAAAUAUAAUUAUAAUUUCUUUUAAAAGAGCUCUCUUACUUAAUAAAGAAACAGGCUGGGCAUGGUGGCUCACGCAUGUAAUCCCAGCACUUUGGGAGGCUGAGGCGGGUGCAUCACCUGAGGUCAGGAGAUCAAGACCAUUCUGGUCAAUAUGCCAAAACCCUGUUUCUACUAAAAAUACAAAAAUUAGCCAGGUGUGGUGGUGGGUGCCUGUAGUCCCAGCUGCUCAGGAGGCUGAGGCAGGAGAAUUGCUUGAACCCAGGAGGCACAGGUUGCAGUGAGCCGAGAUCACGCCACUGCACUCCAGCCUGGGUGACAGAGCAAGACUCCAUCUUGAAAAAAAAGAACAAACGAACGAACAAAAGAAAGGACAGGAAAGGGAAAGGAAAAGAAAUAAAAUGUCUAAUGUUUUUUGCCCACCAAACUAGUUAAAGUAAUUACAAAGACAAGGCUGCUGUAAACACCUUGUGCACUGUCCCCAAAACGCAGAUGGCAUGGGAGCAGACAGCACCUUUAGAUGAAGACACACAUGCAGCCUACACAAGGCACACAGAUGCAUUUCAGCCAUUAUUCCCUCAUGAUGAAACCCUCCCCUUGUGCAGUGUGUAACCUGAACUGACACACACACAUCUUGGGUGAAGUGUGAAGUAAUGGGAAUCUGUGUACACUACUAUUCAGAGUAUAAACUGGUGCAAAAUUACAGAAGGUAAUGCGGCAAUACUACAAUUUUAAAUAUAUAAUUCUAUUAGGAACUUAGAUUUCAUAAAUAUUCACACAAGUAUGCAAAGAGAUAUUCACAGAUGACCCAUGCUAUACUACCAGAAAUAAUGAAAAGUGGGAAAUAGCCAAAAUGAUGUCAGUGGAAGCUUGGACAAAUAAGUUAUGGUAUACCUAAACAAUGAAAUGCCAUCAUUAAAAUGAAUGAGGAACUCAAUGCACACUGACAUGGAACAACUUCCAGGAAAUACAAGUGGAGGAAAAGGAUGAACAUGCAAUGCAUUAGGAGAACAUGCUGACACCACCUCACUGGAAAGGGAAAGAGGUGCAUGACCUGUGACACUGUGGUUCUGUUCCUAGGCACAGACCCAAGGACCCUGUGCAAGGCAAUGCAGAUUUAGAUGCUAUUUCAGUUAAUGGAACUCUACCUUCCAGCUGCUCAGGCCAAAGUCUUAGUCUCACCCCUCGACCCUCUUACUGCACCAUACACAUUCCAUGUGUCAGUUCCACCUGCAGAAUACACCCAGGAUUUGAGCCCUUCCUCAUCCACCACCUCCUUUCUCUCCAAGCCAUGAUCAUUUCCCAUGGGGGUUAACCCAAGCCUCUUAAGAACUGGUCCACUUGCUUCUGUCCUGCCUCUUGGAAGUCUGUUCUUAACACAGUAGCCAGAAUAAUCCUGUUAAAGCAUAGGCCUGAACAAAUCACUCCUCUGCUCAAAACCCUGACUCCCUACUUCACUCAGAAAAGCCCAAGUCCUUACUAUGACAACAGGUACUUCACAGCUGGGACCCAGUCAGGCUGGGAUCUUGUCUCCUACCGGCCCCGCUUCUGGGCUCCCCUUAUCCAUGCUGGAACCCUGCUGUCCCUGAAUAUGCCAGAUGAUGUACUCCUGCCUUGAGGUCUUUGCACUUUUUCUUUCCCUGCCGGGGAGGCCCUGCCCUCAGACAUCCAUUCAUCCUGCUCUCAUUGCCUAAGGUUUGCUUCCACAGAUGGCUUCUUAGAGGCCACUCUCUGUAGAUCUUCCUCUAACACCACCCAUCCUUAGCAUUUCUUAUCUCCCACAUACUAUCACAAUUACUACACUGCGGAACUCAUCUUGUCCACUGCCUAUCUGUUUCACCAGAAUGCAAGCUCCAUCAGACAUGGGUUUUCAUGUUUCAUUUAUUGCUGUAUCCUGACACCAUAGCACAUAGUAAAUCCUUAAUAUAUUGUGGACUAAACAGGUGUAACAAUAUGUGUAAUAAUAAGACGAGAGACAUCUCUAAGUCUGGCUCCUGGGUAGAUUUUAUCUACCCAACAAAGGAGUAGAGGUAGGACUCCGGCCCAUGCCAUUUCCAAGGAAACCCUUUCUGGAGGGGUGGGGAAAGCUGUGUCCUUCCCAUCAAGAGCAAAGAAAAGCCACUACCACUUAUGUAGGAAAAAUCCCUAUGACUCUACCCCUGGGGGUAAUCAACAGGCAAAGGGCAACACACUUACUGUUCCCUGUGAGAUAAUUAACAAAAAUAAGCCUCUGUUCAGAAUAUCUCAGGUGUUCUGGACAAAAAAUAAAGAUUCAGGAUAAAGUUAAUGAAGAUGAAAAUUUUAAAUCAACUUAAGGUUCUGAGAAAAAGUCUGAUGGCUCUGGAUUUCCUGGUGACACAAGAGAUCCGGUUGUUUUGAAAAGAUGGAGAAGGAGUAUGUAGGGAGCCGAACAUCAGAGGAGAGUGAAGGAGUUUGAAAUAUUGAUAACACAAAGAGGAGUAGAGCAGGCCAACCAAGCAAACACAGUGGGGCUGUGGGCCGCAUGGGGGCCCUACAGGCACAUAGCAGAUGACCAAGAAACAUCAGUUUACAGAAUGAGUGGAAGAAUAAAUGAGUGAGCAAGUGAAAAGAGCAAAUAAAUGAGUGGGUGAACAAGGAGGAGCAAGCAAUGGGAGAAUAAAUUCAGAAGAAAGCAAGUGAGUGAAUUGAUGAUGUCCCCACUGUGUUCCCUGGUGUGAAUCUUCUUUCUUAUAUUUCUUAGCUGCUCAUGUGUUGGUUCAUUUAGGGUUGGGAAUAUGCCAUUUGAGUGUGUUUUUUAAAAAAAGACUGGGAUGGAGUUUAGGGUAACGGCAAGAGUGUUACUGAAACAAUGGAUCAUGGAAUAUAAGCUGGACAAAAGGAGACAUGAUAAAAAGAAGGUUGAUAGGAUAGAAAAAAUAAGGCAGCGGUUGAGGUGGUAGUCAGGAAAUCUGGAAGGUGAGAAGAUUAUGCUUAAGGACUGGGAUGCCCGAAUUCAUGAGUCUGGACCAUGGGAGUUGGUGGCUGAGACAGAGAAGAGAAGAGGAGAGGAGAGAAGGAGAUCCUAGGAACAAAGAGGACAGUACUAAGGCCAGAGGCUGUGAGUCCCACAGGUGGACACUGAAACCACCAGGCAACAGCAGGGACUGGGGUGGAGAAAAUGACCACGAUUCUUUGCAGACUCUGACAUCUGGUGAGCGUGACUAUGCAGGAGGUGACUGUGCAGAAAAGGAUCUGAGCUAGAAAAGGGGAACUUCACCCUUCAUGUUCUAUGCUUCAGGACUGCAUGAAUUUUCUGUUGUUUUUCAUUUACAAAGAGCACAUGUUGGUUUAUAAUUGACAAAACCCACAAAUUUGGGGAAGAGAUAAUAUUAAAGUCAGAGAAAAGAGUUUACAAUCCAGAGAAAAUCAUUAAUUUAAGAAGCACUAACAAAUACUGCUUGAAACAGUGCUGAGUCCGACACUGAAAUUAAUUUUCUUUUUCUUUCCAGUCACUAAAGAAAGGGUAUCAGGAAGGCCAUCUGGAUUUUUGCUGAAACCUGUAACAAUACUCUAAAGAUCCUAAGGGGAAAAUGCCAAUGUGCUAACAAGGAUAUUUACUUAAAUGGAUACAGGAUGUCUCCUCUCCAAGGUACAGUGGCUUUCGAGCCCAGUACACACUUCAAGGGCUAGAAGGAUCCCCUGAAUUCUCUAUCCCUCAUGGUAACCAGAGACUAUGUUCACAUUCUCAUAAGGGAACCAAAAAUGUAGCUUCUUCUAUCUUGUUUCCUUGGGGGAUGCACAAUUUAAAAAUGCUUUUUAUAGAAUUCCAUUAUCUUGGGAUAUCCUGGGAACUACUAGAGUUGAAGAUAAUUUUGGUAGAACCUUAAAAUACGAUGGCCCCCAUUGCUAAGCCCACUGAGAACCAAAUUACCAAAGUAAGUGUUAAGACAUUCAAAUUUGAAUAGAAAAUAUAAUGUUUUAUGAGGUAUAAAAAAAUGCAAUAAAAAAGAUUUAGAAAAUUCAAUGCAAAGAACCCAGAAGCAUCUCUGCCAAGACUGAGCUGAAUGCGUUGUUUGACUACACACUCCCUUGUCAAAUGUCAACUUCAUAAAAGACAAGGAACAACUUCUUAUAUAUCCUCAACAGUGCCUAUACUUAUACUGAAAUAACUAUAGGCAAUUACAGUGCCCAUAAUAACACUGAAAUCCGAUGGAAAAAGUUAGAAAUUCUUAAAGAUAUAUAGUAUCUAGACACUCUUCUUCAAUAUCUUUCCUUUAUAGGAAUCACACAAUUUCUGUCGUCAAACAUAAAACUGAGUGGCAGAAACACUAUGCUGGAGAGAAGACCCAGCCAGAUUAUUUACUUACACCAUUUCCCCAGCUGAACCCUCAGAGUCCUUCUCAGGGCCACCCUUUUGGCUAGUCCAAUCAAUCUGUGACUCAGUCUUUUACUGAUCCUGACCCUCUGUCCAGCUGUGCAGACAUCACCAUAGGCAGCACUCAACAUUUCUCACCUGUCUACUGAAACCCUUAACUGGCUGUCCUCUCUUCAAUCUGGACCCCAGCUGAUCUACCUUCUAUUCUGAAUCAACAGCCUAAUAAAAGGCUUCCUUAGGUCAGGGUUAAGAUGAAUCCUCUGUCCAUCAAACUAUGUUUAAACCUCAGUAAUAUCAUGAAUGUUGCUUGAAAGAGCAGCUUAAUCAAGGAUUCAGAGUAUGAACUGGCUGGCUUCCCCCAGAUCAACCACGUUGAAUUGCUUAAUUUCUUCCCUAUGUUCUCUAAACUUUGAAUACUAAAAUGAGUUGAAAAGUAAGCAGAAGGAUACUAAAGGCCUAUUUUCCCGCACGUUCACAAAAAAGAAAAUUAACAAAGUUACGUAGAAUCUUGAUUACCUAAAUUAUUUUUACUAUAGUUCUUUUUCUAAGCUUUGAAAGCCCACCUUAAAUCAAAGAAUUAGGGGUACUGUGUUUCUCAAAGACAUGUGGGGGAAAGAGAAGGUCAUUUAUAUAGUGAUUUUAAAUGGUGAUUACAUAUGGUCUUAUCUUUUUAAAAUCAAUUUUAGGUUCAAAGUUAAGUGGUUUUUCCUUCCAGAGAAAGGAUAUAUUAAACAUCUGCUGCAGUUUCAGGUCACCAACAGCCUCUACCCACAGGUUUGGAUUUGCAUUUUUGUAGGAACGGACAGAAGUCCGAGGAAGAUGAACGAAAGAUGAACGAAAUGGCAGAGUAGGAAGCCGGGGCGGUCCCAGUACUGCAAAGCAACUAGGUGGGGUAAAAGGUGGUGCUGACUAGUUCUCGCUCACCGUGCCCCACAGAAGGUAGCCAGGGUUGCUGUCAUAAAACCUUUUUGUGCAGGGAUGCUUGUGUUAGCAGCCAUUGAUUCAAAGGGGCGGAUCUGUAGGUAAGUUUGGGGGAAGGGGAAAGGGAGACAGAAGGGUAGCCAGUUAUGCAAAGAAAACAUAUCUCGACUGUAUUCUCUAAUUUUAUGUGUGCAGUGCAAAAAAAACCAAUUCUCAGACAUUUAAAAUGUGUUUGAGAUGAUGGGAAAAAGAAUACAUGAGGGAAAAAAACAAAUUCCCACAAAUUCCUCACCGCAGAUGCAGCAGUAACACUGUACUUCAAGCAUUACAGCUUUUUUUAAAUUGACAUUCUGUAAUAUAUCUCCCCAUCCUAAAAUCCACAUUUAAUAGUGGCUAUUGGGAGUAAAUGUGAGACACCUAACAUUUCUAGAUACAGCCAA
rnacentral:lncRNA from 1 species